rnacentral:rRNA from 1 species
GACGUAGGAGGCGAGCGUUGUCCGGAUUCAUUGGGCGUAAAGAGCGCGCAGGCGGCUUGGUAAGUCGGAUGUGAAAUCCCGAGGCUCAACCUCGGGUCUGCAUCCGAUACUGCCCGGCUAGAGGUAGGUAGGGGAGAUCGGAAUUCCUGGUGUAGCGGUGAAAUGCGCAGAUAUCAGGAGGAACACCGGUGGCCGAAGGCGGAUCUCUGGGCCUUACCUGACGCUCAGGCGCGAAAGCUAGGGGAGCGAACUGG